rnacentral:rRNA from 1 species
GUCGAGGGGCAGCGGGGUAGCAAUACCGCCGGCGACCGGCGCACGGGUGCGUAACGCGUAUGCAACCUGCCCUUUACACGGGGAUAGCCCUCCGAAAGGAGGAUUAAUACCCGAUGGUACCUUCGGAUGACAUCGUUUGGAGGUUAAAGAUUUUAUCGGUAAAGGAUGGGCAUGCGUCUGAUUAGCUAGUUGGAGGGGUAACGGCCCACCAAGGCGACGAUCAGUAGGGGUUCUGAGAGGAUGAUCCCCCACACCGGUACUGAGACACGGACCGGACUCCUACGGGAGGCAGCAGUAAGGAAUAUUGGUCAAUGGGCGGGAGCCUGAACCAGCCACGCCGCGUGCAGGAAGAAGGCCCUACGGGUUGUAAACUGCUUUUAUACGGGAAGAACGCCUUUCUUGCGAGGGAGGAUGACGGUACCGUAGGAAUAAGCAUCGGCUAACUCCGUGCCAGCAGCCGCGGUAAUACGGAGGAUGCAAGCGUUAUCCGGAUUCAUUGGGUUUAAAGGGUGCGUAGGCGGGCUUGUAAGUCAGGGGUGAAAUCCGGCGGCUCAACCGUCGAACUGCCUCUGAUACUGCAGGUCUUGAGUCGGCAUGAGGCAGGCGGAAUAUGACAUGUAGCGGUGAAAUGCAUAGAUAUGUCAUAGAACACCGAUAGCGAAGGCAGCCUGCCAAAGCCGUACUGACGCUGAUGCACGAAAGCGUGGGUAGCGAACAGGAUUAGAUACCCUGGUAGUCCACGCCGU